rnacentral:rRNA from 1 species
GUCUUCUUGUUAUUUUAUGAGAAGUCUGACCUGCCCGGUGAUAUUAUUUUUAACGGCCGCGGUAUCUUGACCGUGCAAAGGUAGCAUAAUCAUUAGUCUUUUAAUAGGAGGCUGGUAUGAAGGGUUUGACGAGGUGCUUUCUGUCUCAAUUUGAUGUAUUAAAAUUUAACUUUUAAGUUAAAAGGCUUAAAUUUUGUUGGAAGACGAGAAGACCCUAUAGAGCUUUAUGUUUAUAUUUUUAAUUAUUUUUAGAUAAUACUUAUUUAUUAUUUUUAUAUUCAUUUUGUUGGGGCGAUGAGGAAAUAAAAUUAACUUUUCAAUUAUUUUGAACAUUUAUUUAUGAAUAUAAGAUCCAAUUAUUAUUGAUUAUUAGAGUAAGUUACCUUAGGGAUAACAGCGUAAUCUUCCUUUGGAGUUCAAAUUUACAGGGAGGGUUGCGACCUCGAUGUUGGAUUAAGAUUAUAAUUGGGUGCAGUAGCUUAAUUAAUAGGUCUGUUCGACCUUUAAAUUCUUACAUGAUCUGAGUUCAGACCGG